rnacentral:rRNA from 1 species
CGGUGGAGCAUGUGGUUUAAUUCGAAGCAACGCGAAGAACCUUACCAGGCCUUGACAUGCAGAGAACUUUCCAGAGAUGGAUUGGUGCCUUCGGGAACUCUGACACAGGUGCUGCAUGGCUGUCGUCAGCUCGUGUCGUGAGAUGUUGGGUUAAGUCCCGUAACGAGCGCAACCCUUGUCCUUAGUUACCAGCACGUUAUGGUGGGCACUCUAAGGAGACUGCCGGUGACAAACCGGAGGAAGGUGGGGAUGACGUCAAGUCAUCAGGGCCCUUACGGCCUGGGCUACACACGUGCUACAAUGGUCGGUACAAAGGGUUGCCAAGCCGCGAGGUGGAGCUAAUCCCAUAAAACCGAUCGUAGUCCGGAUCGCAGUCUGCAACUCGACUGCGUGAAGUCGGAAUCGCUAGUAAUCGUGAAUCAGAAUGUCACGGUGAAUACGUUCCCGGGCCUU